rnacentral:rRNA from 1 species
UACGGAGGGUGCAAGCGUUAUCCGGAUUCAUUGGGUUUAAAGGGUGCGUAGGCGGCCUGUUAAGUCAGGGGUGAAAGACGGUAGCUUAACUAUCGCAGUGCCUUUGAUACUGACGGGCUUGAAUGUACUUGAGGUAGGCGGAAUGUGACAAGUAGCGGUGAAAUGCAUAGAUAUGUCACAGAACACCAAUUGCGAAGGCAGCUUACUAAAGUAUGAUUGACGCUGAGGCACGAAAGCGUGGGAUCAAACAGG